AUCAUUAGCUUUUCUUGGGAUCUCAAAGGACCCUGUGCAGCAGGCCACUAUUUGAAUGUGUGUUGCUCCUUGUGGCAGGUAUACUGUUCCAAUGCCCUGGGAUCUCUGUAGUGGUCGGUACUGUAUUGAUUAUAAAUGGUGAAGUCCUAGUAUCUUGCUAGAGUGAGCUGGCCAGGAUGGUGGAGCUCUACCACCAUUUCACAGGUUAUAGACAGGGGCCACCAGGUUUCAGGAAAGCAGCAAUGACCCCUCAGUAAUAGUUGGAAAGUGUGAUAUGACACUGAGCUUCACUGUGUUGGUGAAGAAGAGGUGAGGAAAAUAAAAGCUGCAGUUUGCCUCCACCUCUGAAGAAGCACAAUACACCUUUCUGGGUUACCAAUGGGAUACUUCCCAACAGCUUUGUCAUCACAUACAAUAUUCUCAAACAAGAUCUUAAUGGCAUCUACUUUCUCCAGGAACACAGCCCCUGACCUGUGUGUGUUUGCGUAGAGAAGGCAUGCUAUGUACCCCCUAGGAUAUCAAGAUUCCUGUAGCAGAUUGAGCUCUGGCAGUUGAUCUCAGUGGCUUGAUAGAGUGUCAUUAUAAAAACGCACCUGGAAGAUUCUGUGGAAAAGACAACCUCAGAAGACCAAGGAAUCUGCCCACCACUCAAGCCUGGGAAAGCUGGCAGAGGAUGCACGUGUUUUACUCACCUGAGUGUUUACAAUGCUCGUGAGGUGCCUCCCUGAUAUUUUUAUAGCAGAAUGGAGAAACACAACCAAGGAGAUACACCUAAGUAACAACAGCAAUGAUGUCAAAAAGAGUGCCUGAAUACUUAGGGUGGAGGUCCUGGACAUGCAAACCCAAGCUUCCUCUUUGCUGUGGCCAGGAAUCUGCAGUGAUUGAGAGCACAGACUGUAUCUAAAAUUCCACCUUUCAAAGUUCAGCAUAUUACUUUUUUUUUUCUUACACCUAUAAGUACAGAGGAAUGAAGAAGGAAUAAACAGACCUUCUGGAUAAUUGCAUCAGCCUUCCCCACUAUUCCAAUGCCAUGCUAACAUUUCAAGUAAUGUCCCUUUUGUCUUGCUGAGAAAAAAUCAUUUCAUGAUUUAUUACACUGGAUUAAAGGCUAUGCACACUCUGGAGUUGGAACAUGACUGAAGGGCAAGCAAGCAUAAAGGAUAUCAGAAACA
rnacentral:lncRNA from 1 species